ACUGCACUCCAGCCUGGGCGACAGAUCAAGACUCCAUGUCAAAAAAAAAAAAAUUUUUUUUUAAGGCAUAGGAAGGGCAAAUUCUCUCAUUCUCUCUCUUCUUGAGCUGGGACAUCCAUUUUCUCCUGCCUUCAGGAAAUCAGAGCUCCUUGUUCUUGGAUCUCCCGACUCUGGGACUUACACCUUACCCUUUUCCCCUCAGUCUUUCAGACUUGGACUGAAUUACACCAUCACCUUUCCUGGUUCUCCAGCUUGCAGAUAGCAUGUCAUGGGACUUCUUAGCCUCUGUAAUCAUAUGAGCCAGUUCAUAUAGUAAAUCUCCUCCUAUUGAUCUAUACCUAUAUGUGUAAUCCUAUUAGUUGGGUUUCUUUGGAAAACUCUAAUACCCCUUUAUCCACAGUUUUUUUUUCUGCAGUUUCAGUUAUCUAUGGCCAACUGGGUAAACCAAAUAGAUGCUCUUUACAAUUAUUUUUUAACUUCUUAAAAUAUCUCAUUGAGGAUUCCGUUCCAAGAUGGCCAAAUAGGAACAGCUCUGGUCUGCAGCUCCCAGUGUGAUCGACGCAGAAGAUGGAUGAUUUCUCCAUUUCCAACUGAGGUACCUGGUUCAUCUUACUAGGACUGGUUGGACAGUGGGUGCAGCCCACGGAGGGUGAGCCGAAGCAGGGCAGGGCAUCGCCUCACCUGGGAAGUGCAAGGAGUCAGGGGAUUUUCUUUUCCUAGCCAAGGGAAGCUGUGACAGAUGGUACCUGGAAAAACGGGACACUCCUGCCCAAAUACUGCACUUUUCCAAAGUCUUAGCAAAUGGCAUACCAGGAGAUUAUAUCCUGUGCAUGGCUCGACAGAUCCUAUGCCCAUGGAGCCUUGCUCACUGCUAGUGCAACAGUCUGAGAUUGACCUGCAAGGCAGCAACCUGGCAUGGGGAGGGGCAUCUGCCAUUGCUGAGGCUUGAGUAGGUAAACAAAGUGGCUGUGGAAGCUUGAACUGGGUGGAGCCCACCACAGCUCAGCAAGGCUGACUGCCUCUGUAGUCUCCACCUCUGGGGAAGGGCAUAGCUGAACAAAAAGCAGCAGAAACUUCUGCAGACUUAAACAUCCCUGUCUGACAGCUCUGAAGAGAGCAGUGGUUCUCCCAGGAUGGUGUUUUAGCUUGGAGAACAGACAGACUGCCUCCUCAAGUGGGUCCCUGACCCCCAUGUAGCCUAACUGGGAGACACCUCCCAGUAGCCGACUGACACCUCAUACAGGCAGGUGCCCCUCUGGGAUGAAGCUUCCAGAGGAAGGAUCACUCAGCAAUAUUUGCUGUUCUGCAGUAUUUGAUGUUCUGCAGCCUCUGAUGGUGAUACCCAGGCAAACAGGUCUGGAGUAGACCUCCAGCAAACUCCAACAGACCUGCAGCUGAGGGACCUCACUGUUAGAAGGAAAACUAACAAACAGAAAGGAAUAGCAUCAACAUCAACAAAAAGGACAUCCACACCAAAACCCCAUCUGUAAGUUACCAACAUCAAAGACCAAAGGUAGAUAAAACCACAAAGAUGGGGAGAAACCAGAGCAGAAAAGUGGAAAAUUCCAAAAACCAGAGCACCUCUUCUCCUCCAAAGGAUCACAACUCCUUGCCAGCAAUGGAACAAAGCUGGGUGGAGAAUGACUUUGAUGAGCUGACAGAAGUAGACUUCAGAAGGUCAGUAAUAAUAAACUUCUCCCAGCUAAAGGAGGAUGUUCUAACCCAUCGCAAGGAAGCUAAAAACCUUGAAAAAAGAUUAGAUGAAUGGCUAACUAGAAUAAACAGUGUAGAGAAGACCUUAAAUGACCUGAUGGAGCUGAAAACCAUGGCACGAGAACUUUGUGACGCAUGCACAAGCUUCAAUAGCCGAUUCAAUCAAGUGGAAGAAAGGGUAUCAGUGAUUGAAGAUCAAAUUAAUGAAAUAACUCAAGAAGAUUAGAGAAAAAAGAGUAAAAGGGAACGAAAAAAGCCUCCAAGAAAUAUGGGACUAUGUGAAAAGACCAAAUCUACAUUUGAUUGGUGUACCUGAAAAUGACAGGGAGAAUGGAACCAAGUUGGAAAACACUCUUCAGGAUAUUAUCAAGGAGAACUUCCCCAACUUAGCAAAGCAGGCCAACAUUCAAAUUCAGGAUAUACAGAGAAUGCCGCAAAGAUACUCCUCAAGAAGAGCAACCCCAAGACACAUAAUUGGCAGAUUCACCAAGGUUGAAAUGAAGGAAAAAAUGUUAAGCGCAGCCAGAGAGAAAGGUCGGGUUACACACAAAGGGAAGCCCAUCAGACUAACAGCAGAUCUCUCGGCAGAAACCCUACAAGCCAGAAGAGAGUGGGGGCCAAUAUUAAACAUUCUUAAAGAAAAGAAUUUUCAACCCAGAAUUUCAUAUCCAGCCAAACUAAGCUUCAUAAGUAAAGAAUAAAAUCCUUUCCAGACAAGCAAAUGCUGAGAGAUUUUGUCACCACCAGGCCUCCCUUACAAGAGCUCCUGAAGGAAGCACUAAACAUGGAAAGGAAAAACCGGUACCAGCCACUGCAAAAAUAUGCCAAAUUGUAAAGACCAUCGAUGCUAUGAAGAAACUGCAUGAACUAACAAGCAAAAUAACCAGCUAACAUCAUAAUGACAGGAUCAAAUUCACACAUAACAAUAUUAACCUUAAAUGUAAAUGGGCUAAAUGCCCCAAUUAAAAGACACAGACUGGCAAAUUGGAUAAAGAGUCAAGACCCAUCAGUGUGCUGUAUUCAGGAGACCCAUCUCACGUGCAGAGACACACAUAGGCUCAAAAUAAAGGGAUGGAGGAAGAUCUACCAAGCAAAUGGAAAGCAGAAAAAAGCAGGGGUUGCAAUCCUAGUCUCUGAUUAAACAGACUUUAAACCAACAAAGAUCAAAAGGGACAAAGAAGGCCAUUACAUAAUGGUAAAGGGAUCAAUUCAACAAGAAGAGCUAACUAUCCUAAAUAUAUAUGCACCCAAUACAGGAACACCCAGAUUCAUAAAACAAGUCCUUAGAGACCUACAAAGAAACUUAGACUCCCACACAAUAAUAAUGGGAGACUUUAACACCCCACUGUCAAUAUUAGACAGAUCAAUGAGACAGAAGAUUAACAAGGAUAUACAGGACUUGAACUCAGAUCUGCACCAAGCAGACUUAAUAGACAUCUACAGACCUCUCCACCCCAAAUGAACAGAGUAUACAUUCUUCUCAGCACCACAUCACACUUAUUCCAAAAUUGACCACAUAGUUGGAAGUAAAGCACUCCUUAGCACGUGUAAAAGAACAGAAAUCACAACAAACUGUGUCUCAGACCACAGUGCAAUCAAAUUAGAACUCAGGAUUAAGAAACUCACUCAAAACUGCACAACUGCAUGGAAACUGAACAACCUGCUCCUGAAUGACUACUGGGUAAAUAACGAAAUGAAGGCAGAAAUAAAGACGUUCUUUGAAAACAAUGAGAGCAAAGACACAAUGUGCCAGAAUCUCUGGAACACACUUAAAGCACUGUAUAUAGGGAAAUUUAUAGCACUAAAUACCCACAAGAGAAAGCAGGAAAGAUCAAAAUCGACACCCUAACAUCACAAUGAAAAGAACUAGAGAAGCAAGAGCAAACAAAUUCAAAAGCUAGCAGAAGGCAAGAAAUAACUAAGAUCAGAGCAGAACUGAAAGAGAUAGAGACACAAAAACUCUUCAAAAAAAUCAAUGAAUCCAGGAGCUCGUUUUUUGAAAAGAUCAACAAAAUUGAUAGACUGUUAGCAAGACUAAUAAAGAAGAAAAGAGAGAAGAAUCAAAUCGAUGGUAUAAAAAAUGAUAAAGGGGAUAUCACCACCAAUCCCACAGAAAUACAAACUACCAUCAGAGAAUACUAUAAACACCUCUACACAAAUAAACUAGAAAAUCUAGAAGAAAUGGAUAAAUUCCUGGACACAUACAGCCUCCCAAGACUAAACCAGGAAGAAGUUGAAUCUCUGAUUAGACCAAUAACAGGCUCUGAAAUUGAGGCAGUAAUUAAUAGCCCACCAACCAAAAAAAGUCCAGGACCAGACAGAUUCACAGCCAAAUUCUACCAGAGGUACAGAGGAGCUGGUACCAUUCUUUCUGAAACUAUUCCUAGCAAUAGAAAAGAGGGAAUCCUCCCUAAUUCAUUUUAUGAGGCCAGCAUCAUCCUGAUACCAAAGCCUGGCAGAGACACAACAAAAAAAAGAGAAUUUUAUACCAAUAUCCCUGAUGAACAUCGAUGCAAAAAUCCUCAAUAAAAUACUGGCAAACCGAAUCCAGUAGCACAUCAAAAAGCUUCUCCACCAUGAUCAAGUGGGCUUCAUCCCUGGGAUGCAAGGCUGUUUCAACAUAUGCAAAUCAAUAAACAUAAUCCAUCACAGAAACAGAACCAAUGACAAAAACCGCUUGAUUAUCUCAAUAGAUGCAGAAAAGGCCAUCGACACAAUUCAAAAGCCCUUCAUGCUAAAAACUCUCAAUAAACUAGGUAUUGAUAGAAUGUUUCUCAAAAUAAUAAGAGCUAUAUAUGAAAAACCCACAGCCAAUAUCAUGUGGAAUGGGCUAAAGCUGUUGACCUGAUAGAUAUGGGUUCAAGAGGACACAGCUGAAUACUGUGCUUAGGAAAAGAACAGUUUCAAAGGCUUUCCAGAUUGUCAGAUUUGAUGAUAUCCUCCUUGGUGCACACCUCUCUUGGCUAUGGGGCACAUAAACCACCUCUACCAAUCUAA